rnacentral:rRNA from 1 species
AGCAGCCGCGGUAAUUCCAGCUCCAAUAGCGUAUAUUAAAGUUGUUGCAGUUAAAAAGCUCGUAGUUGAAUUUCGGGAUCAGUACGCUGGUCGUGCCUUCGGUAUGUACUGGUGUUACUGGUUCCUACCUUCUGACGAACCGUCAUGUCAUUAAUUUGGUGUGGCGGGGAAUCAGGACUGUUACUUUGAAAAAAUUAGAGUGUUUAAAGCAGGCUCGCGCUUGAAUACAUUAGCAUGGAAUAAUGAAAUAGGACGUUCGAUCCUAUUUUGUUGGUUUCUAGGAUUGACGUAAUGAUUAAUAGGGAUAGUUGGGGGCAUUAGUAUUCAAUUGUCAGAGGUGAAAUUCUUGGAUUUAUUGAAGACUAACUACUGCGAAAGCAUUUGCCAAGGAUGUUUUCAUUAAUCAAGAACGAAAGUUAGGGGAUCGAAGACGAUCAGAUACCGUCGUAGUCUUAACCAUAAACUAUGCCGACUAGGGAUCGGAUGAUGUAUUUUAAUGA